UAGGCUUUUUAUUGAGUUGUCUUCCCAGGA
rnacentral:piRNA from 1 species